AUUGAACGCUGGCGGCAUGCCUUACACAUGCAAGUCGAACGGCAGCACGGGAGCAAUCCUGGUGGCGAGUGGCGAACGGGUGAGUAAUACAUCGGAACGUGCCCAGUCGUGGGGGAUAACGUAGCGAAAGUUACGCUAAUACCGCAUACGAUCUAUGGAUGAAAGCGGGGGAUCGCAAGACCUCGCGCGAUUGGAGCGGCCGAUGGCAGAUUAGGUUGUUGGUGGGGUAAUGGCUUACCAAGCCUCCGAUCUGUAGCUGGUCUGAGAGGACGAUCAGCCACACUGGGACUGAGACACGGCCCAGACUCCUACGGGAGGCAGCAGUGGGGAAUUUUGGACAAUGGGCGAAAGCCUGAUCCAGCAAUGCCGCGUGCAGGACGAAGGCCUUCGGGUUGUAAACUGCUUUUGUACGGAGCGAAACGGCUCUCACUAAUACUGGGGGCUAAUGACGGUACCGUAAGAAUAAGCACCGGCUAACUACGUGCCAGCCGCCGCGGUAA
rnacentral:rRNA from 1 species